UAAUGAAGAUCUAUCAAACCAGUUGAGAAAGGAGUCGAUGGACUGGAGGAAGAAGACGAAGAUUUUUAGUUGGAACCGGAAUUGGUAGAACCAAUAAUAGGUACUGCGGCAAUUGAUUAAUUAGAUAGGCUAGAGGGAUCGCAAUUUUUGUGGAGAUUUAUUAAGUAGUUUUUAGAUAGGUAUCAAUUGAGUAUUUGUGAGGAUGCUGCACAAAUAGGAGUGGGGCUAUGUAGAAUAGAUAUUAAUUCAUUUUUAAAAGAUAUUGAUAAAAUAUAUUAACAGUCCAUAUAAAAGAAAAUUUAAGAGUACAGAUGAGUGAUUUAGUUAUUAAAAGCAAUUAAUUAUAGAAUUACAGUUAGAAUCUAAAGAAUCAAGAAAAAGUAUAUAAGAGUUGUAGAAGUUAAUUAGGAUGCCAGACUGUGAUAGUCAUGAGCCGAGGGCCAUCGCUAAGAUAGUUGUGAGCCGGGGUAAGCUUGGUGCUACCUCUUUUCU
rnacentral:lncRNA from 1 species